rnacentral:rRNA from 1 species
AUGGGACAUUUGUACAAUCCACAUAUGAAGAUAAGGAAGAAAGAGAUGUUUAUUUGCUGUCCAAAAAGUUCUCCCACGUCACUUUUGGCCCAAGAGAAGAUAGAGUCCAAGUCUCUCACGUUCUGGAUUCAGAUUCGGACUGCACAGACACACCUGACUCAAAACGCACACAAGUUUUUCAUACGGACUCCGAAUUGGGUGAUUCUUUUUUUGUUGGAAACUAGAUUUCGUGCACUUUCCAACCCAAUUGGAAUCACCUUCAAAUUCGUCCGGAGCGUUGAGUUGUGGACGAAACAAUCUGAUGCUGCAGCAGAAUCCGAGUCAAACUACAAGUCCAAAGGUGUUACAUCACCUCCACUUGGGCCCAUUGGCCUUGUACGACCUAGAUUUAGUUUUAGGCUGCCUUGGAACGUCCUCCCACCUCCUUGGCCGCCACCCCUUGCUCCUAUAUAA